rnacentral:rRNA from 1 species
UACGUAGGGUGCGAGCGUUAAUCGGAAUUACUGGGCGUAAAGCGUGCGUAGACGGUAGCGUAGGUCGGGUGUGAAAGCCCCGGGCUCAACCUGGGAAUGGCAUUCGAGACUGCUCUGCUAGGGUGCGGAAGAGGAAAGCGGAAUUCCACGUGUAGCGGUGAAAUGCGUAGAGAUGUGGAGGAACACCAGUGGCGAAGGCGGCUUUCUGGUCUGUAACUGACGCUGAGGCGCGAAAGCGUGGGGAGCAAACAGG